UACAGGGGGGGCAAGCGUUGUUCGGAAUUACUGGGCGUAAAGGGUUCGUAGGUGGCCACCUAAGUCAGACGUGAAAUCCCUCAGCUUAACUGGGGAACUGCGUCUGAUACUGGGUGGCUUGAGUGCAGGAGAGGAAUGCGGAAUUCCAGGUGUAGCGGUGAAAUGCGUAGAUAUCUGGAGGAAUACCGGUGGCGAAGGCGGCAUCCUGGACCGGCAUUGACGCUGAGGAGCGAAAGCUAGGGGAGCAAACGGG
rnacentral:rRNA from 1 species